GAUGAACGCUGGCGGCGUGCCUAAUACAUGCAAGUCGAGCGAACGGACGAGAAGCUUGCUUCUCUGAUGUUAGCGGCGGACGGGUGAGUAACACGUGGAUAACCUACCUAUAAGACUGGGAUAACUUCGGGAAACCGGAGCUAAUACCGGAUAAUAUUUUGAACCGCAUGGUUCAAAAGUGAAAGACGGUCUUGCUGUCACUUAUAGAUGGAUCCGCGCUGCAUUAGCUAGUUGGUAAGGUAACGGCUUACCAAGGCAACGAUGCAUAGCCGACCUGAGAGGGUGAUCGGCCACACUGGAACUGAGACACGGUCCAGACUCCUACGGGAGGCAGCAGUAGGGAAUCUUCCGCAAUGGGCGAAAGCCUGACGGAGCAACGCCGCGUGAGUGAUGAAGGUCUUCGGAUCGUAAAACUCUGUUAUUAGGGAAGAACAUAUGUGUAAGUAACUGUGCACAUCUUGACGGUACCUAAUCAGAAAGCCACAGCUAACUACGUGCCAGCAGCCGCGGUAAUACGUAGGUGGCAAGCGUUAUCCGGAAUUAUUGGGCGUAAAGCGCGCGUAGGCGGUUUUUUAGUCUGAUGUGAAAGCCCACGGCUCAACCGUGGAGGGUCAUUGGAAACUGGAAAACUUGAGUGCAGAAGAGGAAAGUGGAAUUCCAUGUGUAGCGGUGAAAUGCGCAGAGAUAUGGAGGAACACCAGUGGCGAAGGCGACUUUCUGGUCUGUAACUGACGCUGAUGUGCGAAAGCGUGGGGAUCAAACAGGAUUAGAUACCCUGGUAGUCCACGCCGUAAACGAUGAGUGCUAAGUGUUAGGGGGUUUCCGCCCCUUAGUGCUGCAGCUAACGCAUUAAGCACUCCGCCUGGGGAGUACGACCGCAAGGUUGAAACUCAAAGGAAUUGACGGGGACCCGCACAAGCGGUGGAGCAUGUGGUUUAAUUCGAAGCAACGCGAAGAACCUUACCAAAUCUUGACAUCCUUUGACAACUCUAGAGAUAGAGCCUUCCCCUUCGGGGGACAAAGUGACAGGUGGUGCAUGGUUGUCGUCAGCUCGUGUCGUGAGAUGUUGGGUUAAGUCCCGCAACGAGCGCAACCCUUAAGCUUAGUUGCCAUCAUUAAGUUGGGCACUCUAAGUUGACUGCCGGUGACAAACCGGAGGAAGGUGGGGAUGACGUCAAAUCAUCAUGCCCCUUAUGAUUUGGGCUACACACGUGCUACAAUGGACAAUACAAAGGGCAGCGAAACCGCGAGGUCAAGCAAAUCCCAUAAAGUUGUUCUCAGUUCGGAUUGUAGUCUGCAACUCGACUACAUGAAGCUGGAAUCGCUAGUAAUCGUAGAUCAGCAUGCUACGGUGAAUACGUUCCCGGGUCU
rnacentral:rRNA from 1 species